rnacentral:rRNA from 2 species
ACAUGAAUCCCUCAUCACUAACAGGCUAACCUAUCACAAUAGGAGAAUUAAUGCUAGAAUGAGUAACCAGGGUAACUCCCUCUACGACGCAAGCUUACAUCUGUACAUUAUUAACAAAUACCCAAUAUACGACUAAUCCAACAAGCAGAGUAUUAACCACAUUGUUAACCCGACAGAGGAGCGUCCGUAAGAAAGAUUAAAACCUGUAAAAGGAACUAGGCAAACCCGUCAAGGCCCGACUGUUUACCAAAAACAUAGCCUUCAGCAAACCAAAGGACAAGUAUUGAAGGUGAUGCCUGCCCGGUGACAUAGUUUAACGGCCGCGGUAUCCUAACCGUGCAAAGGUAGCGCAAUCAAUUGUCCCAUAAAUGGGGACACGUAUGAAUGGCUAAACGAGGUCUUAACUGUCUCUUACAGGCAAUCGGUGAAAUUGAUCUCCCUGUGCGAAAGCAGGGAUAACCCCAUAAGACGAGAAGACCCUGUGGAACUUCAAAAACAGCAACCACCCCAAUAUACAUUCACACCCAAAGCACUGGUUCGCAUUUUUUCGGUUGGGGCGACCUUGGAGCAAAACAAAACCUCCAAAAACAGGACCAUCCCUCCAAACUAAGAGCAACCCCUCAACGUGCCAACAGCUCCCAGAUCCAAUAUAAUUGAUCAAUGGACCAAGCUACCCCAGGGAUAACAGCGCAAUCUCCUCCAAGAGUCCAUAUCGACGGGGAGGUUUACGACCUCGAUGUUGGAUCAGGACAUCCUAGUGGUGCAGGAGCUACUAAGGGUUCGUUUGUUCAACGAUUAACAGUCCUACGUGAUCUGAGUUCAGACCGGAGCAAUCCAGGUCGGUUUCUAUCUAUGAUGAACUCUUCCUCGUACGAAAGGAUCGGAAAAGUGAGGCCAAUACCACAAGCAAGCCUUCGCCUUAAGUAAUGAAGCCAACUCAAUUACAAAAGGCUAUCACACCACACCAUGUCCAAGAAAAGGACGUCA